AGGGAUAUAACUCAGUGGUAGAGUUUCACCUUGACGUGGUGAUGGUCAUCGGUUCGAGCCCGAUUAUCCCUA
rnacentral:tRNA from 2 species